GCUAAGGCACAAGAGGUUAAGUGACUCACUCAAAUCACAGAAACCAGGAGAACUCCGGUUUAGACGUGGAGUUGGGGUGCUUUCAGCCACAACCCAGUACGGCCUCUCUCUUCCCUCCCUGCAGAAUCAGUGAGGCUAGGGGAGGAGUCAGCAUGAGCCCCAGCCAGCCUCCUCAGCUCCAGGGCCUCCCCACUGCAGCCACGAAGAGGAGAGGGCUUGGGUUUCGGAACUCUCUGGCUCCAGGGCCAAGUCUGGUUACUGCGGCGGCCGUGAACGUGCACUGCUCAGGUCUCCUGCCAUGGGGAGCAUGAUUGACUGACAACCCCAGCUGCUGUCCCUUGGGAUGUGCUGCCGUGUCUAUGCUGAACCCACAUUUCCUGUGGGCUGCUCUCAGCCAACCACCGAGCAUGGCAGGAAUACUAAAGGCAGGCCCACUCUGGAGAGAUGAAGAACUCUUCCAGUAAGUGACUUUGGCUCAAGGACUCUCCAUUGGCAUGGCUUAACCUUGUUUGAAUUGUACUGCAGUUCAAGACUCUUCCUACACAAUCUGCCUUCCUUCUCCCUCUCCUUCCCCAGGUGCCAGACCUGCUUUCUCCUGCUCCCUCUCUCAAUAAAUCUCUUGUAUGCUGAA